rnacentral:rRNA from 1 species
GACGAACCGAGCGAACGUUAUUCGGAAUCACUGGGCUUAAAGGGCGCGUAGGCGGGCCGUAAAGUCAGGGGUGAAAUCCUCCAGCUCAACUGGAGAAGUGCCUUUGAUACUUGCGGCCUCGAGGGAGGUAGGGGCGUGCGGAACUUCCGGUGGAGCGGUGAAAUGCGUAGAUAUCGGAAGGAACACCGGUGGCGAAAGCGGCGCGCUGGACCUCUUCUGACGCUGAGGCGCGAAAGCCAGGGGAGCAAACGGG